GUGAGUCAUCGAAUCUUUGAACGCACAUUGCGCCCCUUGGUAUUCCAUGGGGCAUGCCUGUUCGAGCGUCAUCUAAACCCUCAAGCCCCAUGGCUUGGUGUUGGGUGUUUGUCCCUGCUCCCCGCGCGGACUCGCCCCAAAUGCAUUGGCAGCGGCCUCCACGCUUCUCGCGCAGCACAUUGCGCAGCGGAGCACGGCUAGGCGCGCGUCCAGCAAGCAACCCCCAAGUUUGACCUCGGAUCAGGUAGGGAUACCCGCUGAACUUAAGCAUAUCAAUAAGCGGAGGA
rnacentral:misc_RNA from 1 species